rnacentral:rRNA from 1 species
UACGGAGGGUGCGAGCGUUGUCCGGAAUCACUGGGCGUAAAGGGCGCGUAGGCGGCUUGGGAAGUCCGUGGUGAAAGCUCGAGGCUCAACUUCGAGUCGGCCAUGGAUACUCCUAAGCUCGAGUCGACUAGAGGCAGAUGGAAUUCCGGGUGUAGCGGUGGAAUGCGUAGAGAUCCGGAAGAACACCGGCGGCGAAGGCGGUCUGCUGGGGUCGAACUGACGCUGAGGCGCGACAGCGUGGGGAGCAAACAGG